rnacentral:rRNA from 1 species
CCUACGGGCGACAGCAGUGAGGAAUAUUGGUCAAUGGGCGCUAGCCUGAACCAGCCAAGUAGCGUGAAGGAUGACUGCCCUAUGGGUUGUAAACUUCUUUUAUAUGGGAAUAAAGUGCAGUAUGUAUACUGCUUUGCAUGUACCUUAUGAAUAAGGAUCGGCUAACUCCGUGCCAGCAGCCGCGGUAAUACGGAGGAUCCGAGCGUUAUCCGGAUUUAUUGGGUUUAAAGGGAGCGUAGGCGGGUUGUUAAGUCAGUUGUGAAAGUUUGCGGCUCAACCGUAAAAUUGCAGUUGAUACUGGCAGCCUUGAGUACAGUAGAGGUAGGCGGAAUUCGUGGUGUAGCGGUGAAAUGCUUAGAUAUCACGAAGAACUCCGAUUGCGAAGGCAGCCUGCUGGACUGUCACUGACGCUGAUGCUCGAAAGUGUGGGUAUCAAACAGGAUUAGAUACCCCAGUAGUC